UCUUCCAAUGUUUCAUUCAAUUUCAAUCGUUCAUUCCUAAUUGAUUUGAUUUAUUUAAUUCAUUUAUCAUUACUUGGUCAGAGUCAAUUCAAAAUUCACAGUAAAGUAAAGGCGACUAGAUGUAUUACAGUAAUAAAAAAACAAAAAAAAAUCUUAGUUAGGCUAAUUUGGUUUUUGUGACAGCAGAAAACUUUUUGCACCAUUGUUUUCAGGUCUCAAGUUGCAUUAUCUGUUGAGGAAGAGUUCUCAGCGUUGCAUCCUAUGUUGAUCGGCCCUACAUAGCCUAAAACAGGUCGAGACAAAAAAGAAUUAAAACAACAGAUUAAAUUGAUUUAAGAAGUAAUAUAAUGCAAAAGAAGAAUAAAGAAGACACGAGAAAAAGGAAAAUCCCUCAAGUGUAUUGUAAAAAUAUCUAAUACGCAUUGCAAGAUUUGACUAUGAAGUGAUUCAAUGUUGAGUGAAAGAGGUAGCCUAUCAUGUAACUACUAGCCACUUAACAAGGCCUACAAACAAGUUUUAGUUACAUACGAAUUUAUGACUUUUCUAAUUAGUUACUAGCUUAUGUGAUAAGAUUUAUAGAUAUAAAAAUUGCAAGAGUAGAAAUGUUAACUCGCUUCAAAAAAUAUCCUCUUAAGUGUCCAAUAUGUGUGCAAAGUUGUUCAACUCCAUCCGCAAUGAAGGCUCAUAUAUUGUAUCACACGGGAGAGCGUCCCUUUAAAUGUUUGGCAUGUGGGAAAACUUUUUUCCAAAAACACCAUGUAAAAAGACAUUUGUUGAUCCAUUUUGCGAUAUAUAAUUAUAAGUGCCCAACAUGCGAAAAAUCCUUUGCAUCAAAAUACUAUAUGAAGAGACACACACUAGUUCAUACAGGAAUGAGACCUUACAAGUGCUGUACAUGUGGAAAAUCCUUUAAAACCAAAGGCAAUAUGAAGAUACAUUCAUUGUUUCAUACAGA